rnacentral:rRNA from 1 species
UACGGGGGGGGCAAGCGUUGUUCGGAAUUACUGGGCGUAAAGGGCUCGUAGGCGGCCAACUAAGUCAGACGUGAAAUCCCUCGGCUUAACCGGGGAACUGCGUCUGAUACUGGAUGGCUUGAGGUUGGGAGAGGGAUGCGGAAUUCCAGGUGUAGCGGUGAAAUGCGUAGAUAUCUGGAGGAACACCGGUGGCGGAGGCGGCAUCCUGGACCAAUUCUGACGCUGAGGAGCGAAAGCCAGGGGAGCAAACGGG